rnacentral:lncRNA from 1 species
AAUGAUUCUUCUUUCUGAAAUCCACUUGUUUUUUAUUUCUUGGCCUGUUUAUUUCCUGUUUCCUGCAGUAGACUAACCCCAGCGAUAAAAGGCAGCAAGCAAUCUUCCUGUGUUGUUCCCUGCCUUGUUCCCAAAGCAUUGCACGGCCCUUGGCACACAGUUGGUACUCAACAAAUGCUUAUCGACUUAAGAAUGGACCGCAUUGGCAGCGUUGGCUUUUCAACUCUGAUCUCCUGAGACUCUCUCAGAUGGGAAGCCUGGCUGUCCUGCCUGGAACCUCUGAGACUGUUCUGCUCCUCACACCCUCUCAGAAGCAUCCCAGCAAGCCCUGUGGGAUUCAGUGUGGGUCUCUUGAGAGUGGAAACACCCUCUACCUAUGUGUCACUGUGCCUCUCUUCCUGACACCACCCCCACUGGGAUCCACGAGAGAGGAGCAGAAGAACGGACCUCAGGCUGGGAGGUUACUUCCUACUCAUCCAUGCCUGGGCCCCUUGCUCCUUCUGCAAAGACUCCCAUUCCAGGUCCUAGAAGCAAUCCUGACUGGGGACAGCUUAGACCCUGCUCUGAGGCCUUAG